CAGCCUCUGGAUGAUUCCCCCCAUGUGGUGCAAGGUGCUGUUUAUAACUGCAUGACCUGUCAGUACGACUCCUGUGAGUUCCCGCUGGAUUGCCCUGUGAAGGAAAUCAAUGUAAAGGAGAACAACAGAACUCAGAUGUGGUGUAAGGUCCCUUUCCUGCUUCCUACAGAUGCAGAAAUGGUCUGGAGAUAUGCAAUGGAGAGAACGAUGUUGAUGGAUCGGUUUGACGAGGUCACGGUUGGAGUGGAUCCACUUUACUUCAUCCCCUCUGCCCGGCCAGAGCACUCAGGCACCUACCAGUGUGAAAUAUUCUCUCAGGAGCACUCACUCGUCCGUAUCUACUACUACCUCACAGGUGCCCACUCACAUAUAAAAAAUAAUGACAUUCCUGGGCUGUUGCUAUUACUGACCUCUCUAUAUAUACCAAAUGUCUGUGGUUUUCACCUCAGUAGUCCCAAUGGCACAAAUAGGCCAUGCAGGACUACAGGAUGUCUUUGAACAGGAGCAGUUCACUUUCCUGUCCCCUACAGUUCCAUUCACCUUAUGGCUUCCCAGUCCUGCCCUUGUCACCACCUGUCUGACUGCAAUGCUUCUGCUGGUCUUCAUUAGUCUAGGGUAAUAAUUUCCUUACUUUCAGUGUAAUUAUUCAGUGUAAUUCCUAUUUUAUUUUAUUACAUUUUUAUAAUUUUUUUAAAUAAUAUAUUUGCAUGUAAACGUACUAGGGGUGUAAUGGUACAUGUAUUUGUCCUGAACCAUCACAGUAUGGCCAUCACAUCAUUCUGUCGAAUCCACUUGAUGCACAACUCAACUGCACAAGAUCUUGUACGCAAACAAACAUGGAUGUCAAUACAAAGGUAUCACUAUUUAUUUGCGGUGCAAUUUGUUCAGAAAAAAAAAAAAAACACACAAAAAGAGGGAAAACCCGCAGGAUAUGGGUGCGGUCCUGGAUGGGGAGGCAAUGUGAACUCUACAGAAAGAAUUAGAAGUGAGUAAAGUGCAGAGGAGAGAGCAAAACAAAACACCAGUCAAGAAUUAGAAAUACAAAACAAGGAUUUGUAAAGAAAAAUGUUGGAGGAUUUCGAUGUAAGACGAGUGGAGACUGGUUUUCCUGUGCUGUAAGCAAAACCUGGUUCUCGCGAGACAAUCAUAUUCUCACUGGAGCUUACACUAUGCCUUAGUCCUACAUCAUCUGCUGGAAUGCCACACUCUUGUGAAUGCAAGUAUGACAGUCAGCAGAGACUAAAUAUUAUGGAUUAUGAAGUUUUAAAAUAUGGAUAUUUUUCUUACACAAAUGCAUAGAUUUGGUUCAGAAGGCCUUUAUUAACCACCUGGAGCUGUGUGGAGCACUUUUUUAUGAUGGAUGGAUGCUUUAUUUUUCUUCAAAAUCAUGACCCCUUGUCACAAUUACACACUGGAGUGCCCAUGAUUUCCACCAGAGGACACUUCAUCCCUGACUUUUACCAUUCAUCCAUGAUUUCCCAUAAUCCUUUGCCCAUACUUAUCAGCAAUCAUCACCAAUUCACAGCUGCUUCACAUUAGAAAGACUAUAAAGGAUCCACUCAGUCACAAACACAUCGCUGUUGAUUGUUAGCCUGUAGCUUACCCGUGUUCUCCUGUUUUGCCAUGUUCUUGUUACCUUACCCUACUUUGCCUUGCCUUCUUUUUGACCCUAGACUGGUUCCUUGUUAUUGAUUGUUUGCUGCCUGCCCUGACCAUUGCCUGCAUAUUGGAUUACUCUUUUGUCUGUUCCUUAUAUUGUACUGUUUUGCUUGUGUGUAACACCUGCCUGUCUGAAUAUGCUUCUAAUAAAGCCUUGGAUCCUAAAAAAGCAUGUGGAUCCUCUACUUUGUCGUCAUGGCUCCUAUGUUACAGAAUCAACACCCAUACCCGGAUGCAGUGGCUUUUUGAUCAUUCCAAGCCUAUCAUGGACUCAUUCGACCAGCUACUGCACCUUCGGCAAAGGAAUCUGCCAACUGAGGAAUAUGUUCAACAGUUAUGUGAGUUGUCCUAUCAUGUGCCAGUCUAUGAAAUCAUGUUAAAAGACAGUUUUCAUUUUGGACUCAAUGGGUCAGCGAAAUCAUGGUUACCUGAAGGGAAAUUCAGUUGUACACUAAGAGUGUUUAUGGGGCAGAGAUUUAUCACAAAAUGGUCACCAGCUCAGAGACCAUUCACAAAAUGGCUGGCAACCCAGAACCUGUUCUCAAAAUGGCUGCCAUUUCAGUGUCUCGUCCCGUCAUGGCCACCGUCCCAGGGUCUCAUCCCAUCAUGGUCGCUGUUCCAGAAUUUCUUCCCAUCACAGCUGCCACUCCCGAGCAGCAUCCAGUCAUGGCUAUUCCACCUGAGCCCUCCACACUCCUGUCAGUUACAAGGCGUCCUAGACUGGUAUCCAGUGUGGAGGAUCUACUGCUGGUGUCUGUCUAAGUUGCGGAUUACCCUGCGAAAUCUCUGCUCCUGAGCCACACAGACUCAGUGUUUUCAAGCGACACUAUUUCAACGCUCUCAAGCGACACUCUAUCAGCGCUCUCAAGCGACACUGUUUCAACACUCUCCAGCCUGCCAGCCGCUACUCACCCCAAUUCCCCAGGCACAGCACCUUCUGUCUCUGAGAUAGACGAUUUAUUCUCUGCCAUACCAGUUAUGGCUAUGGCCAUUCUCUGUGUUUAGGCUGCUCACACCACCGUAGUUUCCCCAGAGGUUGCAGCUUCCACUGCAGAACCUUCCGACAUGGUGGUGCCCACUCUAGACCCAGAGCCCACUUCUGUCCCAGAGCCCAAUCCAAUCCCAGAGCCUGCUCCAGUACUUGAAUUCAUUCCCAAGCCUGCUCUAGUUCUAGAAUACAUUUCUGAACCUGCUCCAGAAUCUGAUCCAGAAUCUACUCCAGUACCUGAGUCCGUGCCAGUCUCCCCUAAGGUGGCAACUUCCAUUGCUGAACCUUCCACGCCAGUAAGAUCCGCUCCGCUCCUCCUGAGACAGCAGUGGUACUCUUCCCUGAGCUCUCGGUGGUCCCCGUCACUACUGAUGCCACCACGGACACCAUUUUUUAACUUCCCAUGUUUCCCGAUGCCUCCCUUAUGGCUGUAAGGGCCAUCUAUCAACUCUGUGUUUCGUGAAGUUCCUGUUACCACUGCUGCAGAACUUCCAGAGGCAGUGGGGGUGUUCGCCUCAGCUCCUCUCAAGACAGGGGUGUCCACCUAUGAAACCUUUGUCUGUCCUGACAAGGUCAUGGAGACUGUCAGUGAAUCCCCUGUCAAACCGGUCUCGGUCAUCAAAGCCAGUCAUGAUCUAUCAAUCCUGCCUGAGACGGUCACAAAAACUGCCUCUGAAUUCAUCUGAACUAGCCACAGAGGCCACAUAGGAACUUGUGUCCAAUGCUGAACUGAACACAGAGGUUAUCUAUGAACUUGUGUCCUGUUUUGACCUGGCCACAAAGGCCAUUUGUGAACUCUAUGACUGUUCCGUUACGGCUAGAGAGGCUCUCUCUGAACUCAUAGUUUGUACUGUUACGGUAAAGGAGGCUAUUUAUGAACUCUCUGCCUUUCCUUUCACAGCUAUGGUGGCCAUCUGAAAACUCACUGCCAGACCUGUCACAACUAUGGAGGCCAUCUGUAAACUCUCAGCCUGUCCUGUCACAACUAUGGACGCCGCCUGUGAACUCUCUACCUGUUCUGUCAUGGCUAUGAAGACAAUCUGUGAACUUCCUCACUGUCUCGUCAUGGUCAAGGAGACCAUCUAUGUACUCUUGUCUUGUCCUAGACUGGCCAUGGAUGCCACUAAUGAACUGUCCAUCCAUCUUGUAACGGUCGCCACAGCCACUGUUAACCUCUUUGUGCCUUUUGUUGCAGUCAUGCCAGAUCCGCCAUGGGGGUCUUCGAUUCCAUUUGCUCUGCUGUGGUGGUCAUCUGCUCUGUCAUAGGGAUCUUCAGUCCUGUAUGCUCUGCACUGGUGGUUCUCAGUGCCGCAGGCUCCGCCCUAGCAUCCUGCUCUGCCAGCUCCGUCUGGUCCACCCUGGUGGUCCUCAGCUCCACCCUGGCGUCCAGCUCUGUCAGCUCCACCCUGGCACUCUGCUCCGCCCGCUCCGUCUGCUCCGCUGUGGUGGUCUUCAGCUCUGCCUUCUCCGCUCUGGCAACCCUCUACUGACACCUUGGCAAUUGAAUCGUCAUUGGCUAGUAAUUUUUUUUUGUUUACUCGCCAGACUAUAUAUAUAUAUAUUUCAGAAACUUCACACUGGACUUGCCACUGUGCCUCUCCAGUCUUCCU